AGCAGCUUGAAAAACACGCCAUCUUCUACUCUACCUGGCCGAGAGUCGACCCUCUCUCCACACACUGUGUCCCCUCUCAACAUCCUUUAAAACCCCUUACAAGGCUCAGCCUGACAGAAACUUGUGGCCGACAUCUCUCUUGAUGUCUGGCCCCUCUCCUCCCUUAGAGAGUGAAUAAACUCUGUCCUGCUUGCCUGGACAUGCUUUGUGCAAUUCCCUAACAGCUUUGGUGGCCCGUAAGAGGACUGGCCAUUACCUACUGACCGGAAUCCAUCUCAACCAGAUCACCUUCUCAACUUAUCUCAGAGAGAAAACUGCAGUGCUGCAAAUACAACUGAUUCAGCAUUACGGUAUCUACCAAGUGCAAGCAAUCCCACUCUACGAGAGCACUACAAGCCUUCCAGAACUCAAACUUGUAAGAUAAGGAAACUGAAGCUCUGUCGUUCAUCUAAAGUUUCACCUAGGACCGGCUAAAGAAGAACUGGAAUGCAGAAUGAGGAGCUUAUGAGGUUCUCACCCUGGCUCCUCCCACCCAUGCUUGGAUUCAAACAAGUGGCCACUCACUAGCAUCUCCAAAUGGAUACCAGAGCCAUUUUCCAGACCUCAGGAGUCCUAUAGCCUUUCACCAGCCAAGCUAUGGUGCUGGUGCUGAUGCUAGAGCCAGAUAAAGAACCAAUUGCCCAAGUGAGCCUGGAAAUACAUACAUGUCAUCUCUCUGGAGAGCAAAAUUGACACCAUGACUACUGUCCUGGGACUGCCCUUUAAAACCUUUGCUGAAUUUGUAC